GUUUGAGCUUUGACUAUCGAGGAACCACUCUUUUAUCUGUAAGGGAUUCCUAAAUGAUGUGUUACAAAAGCUAGUCAAGUUCCACAGAAGGUUCAUCCAUCCAUCAUUCUGUGUGUUUUCUUCAGCGACAAAUUUCCAAAGAAAGAUCAUUAGCCCCUACCACUACAAACAAAAGAGCCUUCACUGGUUCUAGGUGCUUUUCGGACAUGUACAUGGCUGUGACUGAAACUGGGUGGUUCCAAAUGCUUUUAGUACAUGUUGAAAGGCCACUAUCUUUCCAAAGACAGCUAAUAAGCACCUAACACAACCAACAAAAGCGCCUUGAUGAGGGCAUUGACCGGGUGGUUCCAAAUGCUUUUAGUACAUGUUGAAAGGCUUUCCAAAGAAAGCUAAUUAGCACCUACCACAACCAACAAAAGCCCCUGGAUGAGGGUAUUGACGGAAUGUGAGUGCUUCCAAAGGCUUCUAGUACAUAUCGAAAGGGCCCUUGGUUAGGGUCAGCGUUUGAACCUUUACAGGUUUUCAGUACACGGUAUGUGUGCGUGCGUAAUUAACAAGCUAAAGUGUUCCUCGAGCUAGCCAGGAGUCGAACCUAGAAUCUUCUGAUCCGUAGUCAGACGCGUUAUCCAUUGCGCCACUAGCCCUACACAGGGUGUCUCGGGACAGAUCAGGCAGACGGAUCGGUAGGAAGAAAGACUAAAAACAAGAGUUCUGCAGUUGGCUUUGGAUGUUCUUAUCACAUGUUGAGCUGAAGUGGCUGGAUGGAAGCUCUCUACUCCCUCCGUGAGUUUGCGCCCUUUGUGCUGGUUUGUGUUUACGUUCCACCGCAGGCCAACGUGCAGGAGGCACAAUGCAAGCUCGACUAGCAGAUAUUGCGUGGGGAGAGGACAAACCCGGACUCGGGACAGCGCCAGCAGGGCGUCGACAUGCCAAAAGGAUCCCUGAGCCAGUCCUCGUUAGUAUAGUGGACAGUAUCUCCGCCUGUCACGCGGAAGACCGGGGUUCGAUUCCCCGACGGGGAGUUUCCUUUUAGAUCACCUGCUGAUCUUUCGCCGACGAAAAAGAAAUAAACACAGCUGCGGUAAGCGUGCGCUUGCGUCAAGCUGAGGCUAAGGUUACCUUAACUUUGCUCCUUUUUGCGUCUGUCUGAUAUUUUGACUGGGUACACUUUGAUUUUGAUACGGAGUAGAGUUUGAUUUUGAUACUGAGCACAGUUUGAUAUGUAAACGGAAGCAGAGGCAACGACACAAAAGUUGACCGGGUUCCAAUUUCUGCCGUGACCCGGAUUCGAACCGGGGUUGCUGCGGCCACAACGCAGAGUACUAACCUCUAUACGAUCACGGCUGUUUGGUUCACUUAGUGCCUCCUUGUUGGACUGAGUGUCUCCAGGUCGUGACAGCAUAGUUUGAGCUUUGACUAUCGAGGAACCACUCUUUUAUCUGUAAGGGAUUCCUAAAUGAUGUGUUACAAAAGCUAGUCAAGUUCCACAGAAGGUUCAUCCAUCCAUCAUUCUGUGUGUUUUCUUCAGCGACAAAUUUCCAAAGAAAGAUCAUUAGCCCCUACCACUACAAACAAAAGAGCCUUCACUGGUUCUAGGUGCUUUUCGGACAUGUACAUGGCUGUGACUGAAACUGGGUGGUUCCAAAUGCUUUUAGUACAUGUUGAAAGGCCACUAUCUUUCCAAAGACAG